UGCCAGACUCCUACGGGAGGCAGCAGUGGGGAAUAUUGGGCAAUGGACGCAAGUCUGACCCAGCAACGCCGCGUGAAGGAAGAAGGCUUUCGGGUUGUAAACUUCUUUUAAGGGGGAAGAGUAGAAGACGGUACCCCUUGAAUAAGCCACGGCUAACUACGUGCCAGCAGCCGCGGUAAUACGGAGGAUGCGAGCGUUAUCCGGAUUUAUUGGGUUUAAAGGGUGCGCAGGCGGAAGAUCAAGUCAGCGGUAAAAUUGAGAGGCUCAACCUCUUCGAGCCGUUGAAACUGGUUUUCUUGAGUGAGCGAGAAGUAUGCGGAAUGCGUGGUGUAGCGGUGAAAUGCAUAGAUAUCACGCAGAACUCCGAUUGCGAAGGCAGCAUACCGGCGCUCAACUGACGCUCAUGCACGAAAGUGUGGGUAUCGAACAGGAUUAGAUACCCCGGUA
rnacentral:rRNA from 1 species